CCCAGCUGUCAGCUCAUCAAAGAUGAAAGUUACAGUGUUCUCUGUCCUGAGGCCGUUAUAAUACAGCCUGAUAAAGCAGUUUUUCGCCUGGAGUUUGGACCAAAUUAUUACCCAAUGUUUGAGGUCCGUCUGCCUACAAACACAGUUGAAGUGACUUUAACGGUCCAGGAUCAAAGAAAUCCAGAAGUCUGGAAGUAUAAAAUGGAUCUGAAGGCUCCAAGAAGGAAACAUCAAGAGAGGAAUCUCCCAGCAGAGGUAAGUUUACAUCAAGCUUUUUCUUAUUUUCUGUCAUACAUUCGAACAUUGAAUGAUCUCAGAUGCAGGUGUGUUGGAAAGUAACACUUCAGUCUUCAGAAAGGAACUCACUGCUCACUGUUCUUGAUCAUACUAGUGCUUCAGUUCCUCUGGAUCCAGCAGCUGGACAAAACAACCAC